AUCUCUGUAGAGUCUGCAUAUCAAUAAGCGGAGGAAAAGAAACUAACUAGGAUUCCCUCAGUAACGGCGAGUGAAGCGGGAAGAGCUCAAAUUUGAAAUCUUCAAGGUUCUACCUUGACGAAUUGUAGUUUAAAGAAGUGUUUUCUGUUGGAGUUUUAGUAAAAGUUCUUUGGAAUAGGACAUCAUAGAGGGUGAGAAUCCCGUAUUUGACCAUUAUUUCCAGCUUUGUGAUACACUUUCAAAGAGUCGGAUUGUUUGGGAAUGCAGUCCAAAAUGGGUGGUAAAUUUCAUCUAAAGCUAAAUACUGGCGAGAGACCGAUAGCGAACAAGUACCGUGAGGGAAAGAUGAAAAGAACUUUGAAAAGAGAGUUAAACAGUACGUGAAAUUGUCAAAAGGGAAGCGUUUGACACCAGUGUUGUUUUCUCGAAAAAUCAAUUAAGAAAUGGCUUGAUUUUGUAUUGUUAUGACCUUAUCAGCUUACUGUACUCUUUUCUUGAGUCUUUUUUAAUGCACUUUUCGGUUAACAAGUCAACAUCAAUUUCUUUUGUUGUAAAAGAGUCAUUGGAAGGUGGCUUUCACUUCGGUGAAAGUGUUUAUAGCCUUUGGCUUCUGCAAUCGGAGAGAUUGAGGUCUGCAGCGUAGAUCCUUCGGGGCUAGAUACGUAGAUGCUAAGUUGUAGUUUUUUAUAGACAACUUGUUGACUAUAAUUAAUCAUGUAGCUUACUCGUUUGCGCUAUUUUACCUACGCUUAGGAUGUUGAUAGUCACAGCGUGUAC
rnacentral:rRNA from 1 species